CACCGCGGUUAUACGAGAGACCCAAGUUGAUGAACCCGGCGUAAAGGGUGGUUAUGGAGAACACAACACUAGAGCUAAAGACCCCCUAGGCUGUUAUACGCACCUGGGGGAUCGAACCCCUUGCACGAAAGUAGCUUUAUAAUUUUCCACCAGAACCCACGACAGCUGGGGCA
rnacentral:rRNA from 1 species